GGCAGUCUUCCGGCUACACAGGAAGAAAAUUGACAGACACGUGUUGCAAACGGACUUGGAGCCUCAGGUUUAAACGUGGUCAUGUUUCUCCAGUAUUAUCUCAAUGAGCAAGGAGAUCGAGUCUACACAUUGAAGGUAAGAAGAGGAAACGUUGUAAGUGGGCAUGACGAGAAGCAUUUUUCGUAAGUGGGAAGAGCGGUUGAGGCCAGCCUCCGAGCUGCCUGUCUGGGUGCGGGGUACCAGAAAGUCUGGCACCGAGGCGCGGUAGAAACGCAGUGCGCAGCUUCUCCAUCUGACUGUCGUGUUUCGGUGCUGCUCUCUCCAAGUCCCAUCACUCUUUUGUGUGUGUGCUGGGGAUUGAACUCAGGGCCUUGUGCAUGCGAAGCAAGCACUCUGUCAAUUGAGCUGUAUCCCCAGGGUUACUUCAUCACUCUUGUAUUGAGAUCAUUUUCCUUUUUCCUCGAGCAGAAAUUUGACCCUAUGGGACAACAGACCUGCUCAGCCCAUCCUGCUCGGUUCUCCCCGGACGACAAAUACUCGCGACACCGAAUCACCAUCAAGAAACGGUUCAAGGUGCUCAUGACUCAGCAACCGCGCCCUGUUCUCUGAGGGUCCCUUAAAUUUCAUGUUUCGUCUGUCGCCUGCUCGGUUUCGAAGAAUCCGUAACCCAACCACCCAUGCCCUUUGGAAUCCAGUCUCCUCCGAUUGCCUUUAAUCAUGCUUAUUUGAGGCCAUCAUGGUGGCAUCCUCUUUAAAGGGAACACGUUUUUCAUAUUUUGAAUUAUUGCCACGUUAUUAAAGAUAAAAUGAUUUG
rnacentral:lncRNA from 1 species